rnacentral:rRNA from 1 species
CCUACGGGAGGCAGCAGUGAGGAAUAUUGGUCAAUGGACGAGAGUCUGAACCAGCCAAGUAGCGUGAAGGAUGACUGCCCUAUGGGUUGUAAACUUCUUUUAUAUGGGAAUAAAACGUUCCACGUGUGGGAUUUUGUAUGUACCAUAUGAAUAAGGAUCGGCUAACUCCGUGCCAGCAGCCGCGGUAAUACGGAGGAUCCGAGCGUUAUCCGGAUUUAUUGGGUUUAAAGGGAGCGUAGGUGGAUUGUUAAGUCAGUUGUGAAAGUUUGCGGCUCAACCGUAAAAUUGCAGUUGAAACUGGCAGUCUUGUGUACAGUAGAGGUGGGCGGAAUUCGUGGUGUAGCGGUGAAAUGCUUAGAUAUCACGAAGAACUCCGAUUGCGAAGGCAGUUCACUGGACUGCAACUGACACUGAGGCUCGAAAGUGUGGGUAUCAAACAGGAUUAGAUACCCUUGUAGUC